AGGGCACCACCAGGAGUGGAGCCUGCGGCUUAAUUUGACUCAACACGGGAAAACUCACCCGGCCCGGACACUGCAAGGAUUGACAGACUGAGAGCUCUUUCUUAAUUCAGUGGGUGGUGGUGCAUGGCCGUUCUUAGUUGGUGGAGCGAUUUGUCUGGUUAAUUCCGAUAACGAACGAGACUCUGGCCUAUUAAAUAGACGAGAUAUUACUCAGUAUCUCGCGCUUCUUAGAGGGACAAGCGGCGUCUAGUCGCAUGAAAAAGAGCAAUAACAGGUCUGUGAUGCCCUUAGAUGUCCGGGGCUGCACGCGCGCUACACUGAAAGAAUCAGUGGGCGUUUUACCUGGUUCGGAAGAACCGGGUAACCCAAGUAAUUUCUUUCGUGCUUGGGAUAGGGAAUUGCAAUUAUUUCCCUUAAACGAGGAAUUCCCAGUAAACGCGGGUCAUAAGCUCGUGUUGAUUACGUCCCUGCCCUUUGUACACACCGCCCGUCGCUACUACCGAUUGGAUGACUUAGUGA
rnacentral:rRNA from 1 species